AAAUGAAAGUGGGUCUUUGAAAAUUAAACAUAUCUUAAAAUGAAAAAAAAAACAAUCUUCAUAAAUACGGUAAAAAGUGAAAAAAUAAAAAAUAAAAAUGAGGUACUAAUAAUCAUAUACUACAUGAUUAGUAAUUAUUAUUACAUCUUGAUAUGAUUAAUAAUAAUUAUUACAUCUAGAUUUAGAAUCAAAUAUACUUCUUUAUG
rnacentral:lncRNA from 1 species